GGAGAGAUGGUCGAGCUGGCUUAAGGCACCGGUCUUGAAAACCGGCGUACCUUUGCGGGUACCGUGGGUUCAAAUCCCACUCUCUCCGCCA
rnacentral:tRNA from 8 species